ensembl:lncRNA novel transcript
UCAUUUUUUAUAUGGGACAGUAUGUAUUUUACUACAAACUACAAAGACUCAGAGGAUGGACAGUGACAGUUAAUAUGAUUCCUCUCAUUGCCCAUAGGUAGGCCACCGAUCCAAAUGGAUCCUGAGUUCAGACAGAAUCCUUACCUCCUGAUAAGGUUGAGUGAGGAUUAUUAGGUGAGCCACAGACUAAGGAAUGUUUCAGAAAGCAGUUUUCUAGGUGUAGUUUGGAUUUACAAAAAAAAAAAAAAAAAAGUUCUCCAGGCCAGGCGUGGUGGCUCCUCAAGUCUAGAAGACCCAAGCCUCAGGCUUCCUCCAGAAAAGCAGUCUGGGAGACAGAAUUUACAAAUCAACUGGCUGACCGGACGAAGCCCCGGAAUCCUGUGUCAAUUCGUUUUAAACUAAGGCCAGAUGCUUUUUGGUAGGCUGCCUCUUCCCGUGAGCUGGUGGGUACUUCAAGUCUAUGAUUUGAUUCUCAUUUCUUAAAAAAGGAUGAGUAUGUGUGGUAGUUGGGUAUGGUAUA